GUGGCACAGUGGUUAAAGCGCUUGACUGCUAACCAAAAGGUCGGUGGUUCAAAACCACCC
rnacentral:tRNA from 1 species